GAGAGCACAGGCCGUCGGGCGUGCUGCGUGACAUCAUGUUGCGAGGCGGAGGUUUCGUUGUCGCAGUACACCCAGUGCAGCCGCCGGCCAGUUAGUGAACAAUACACGUCCUGACCGAAGCGGCGGGCGCAGCUGUGGGGAGCACAGAAAUGAGCAGCAAACUCUAUCCCUCAGUGCUUUGCUUUCACCUCUGUUCAAGUUCAGGCUACAAUGGACAUCUUUGAACCUGAAGAAUUUAACCGGCCUGUACCAUGGAGGACGUGUAUGUACCGCAGCGGUUUUCUGACAGUGUCCAUCGCUAACCCUUCCGCUGUAGCGUUCCCAAGCUGUGUGGGGACCAGGUUGUGCUCAGAAGUAAAGUUUCCCAAUGGAGUUCCUCUAAACCAGGGCUAGCCUCUAGAUCUACCAACAAUUCACAUUUCCAGACCACCUAGCUGGUGCACAGACUGGAAUCACGUUGAACGAACGCUUCAAGAUACUGAAGGAAGAAAGAUUGUCCAAAACAAUCAGCAAAGGCAGCAGAUUUGUGAUAAUUGGAUGAGGCCCUGAGGUCCGCAGCCUGCCUUAGCUUGUUCCCGCGUUUACGUUUUUUUUUUUUUACCGUUGACUUUAUAAACCACUGGAAAACUUUGCAUUCAGAAGCUGUUGUCAUGUCUG